CGGAAGUCCUCGGAUGGAAGUUAGAAACUAGUGGCGGACGGGUGAGUAACGCGUGGGCAACCGCCUCAUACAGGGGGAUAACAGUCGGAAACGAUUGCUAAAACCGCAUAACAUAGCGAAACCGCAUGAUUUUUGCUAUCAAAUAUUUAUAGGUAUGAGAUGGGCCCGCGUCUGAUUAGCUAGUUGGUGGGGUAAUGGCCUACCAAGGCGACGAUCAGUAGCCGGCUUGAGAGAGUGACCGGCCACAUUGGGACUGAGACACGGCCCAAACUCCUACGGGAGGCAGCAGUGGGGAAUAUUGGACAAUGGGGGAAACCCUGAUCCAGCGAACCGCCGCGUGAGUGAAGAAGUAUUUCGGUAUGUAAAGCUACUAUCAGCAGGGAAGAUAAUGACAGUACCUGACUAAGAAGCCCCGGCUAACUACGUGCCAGCAGCGGC
rnacentral:rRNA from 1 species